UAGUAUCUAACUGUGUAACGUGAGCGUGUACAAUACGAGUGCGCAGGAUGUAGCUGUGUAACGUGAGUGCGUAGGAUCUAACUGUGUAACGUGAGUGCGUAGGAUGUAGCUGUGUAACGUGAGUGCGUAGGAUGUAGCUGUGUAACGUGAGUGCGUAGGAUGUAGCUGUGUAACGUGAGUGUAGGAUCUAACUGUGUAACGUGAGUGUAGGAUCUAACUGUGUAACGUGAGUGUAGGAUCUAACUGUGUAACGUGAGUGCGUAGGAUCUAACUGUGUAACGUGAGUGUAGGAUCUAACUGUGUAACGUGAUUGUAGGAUCUAACUGUGUAACGUGAGUGUAGGAUCUAACUGUGUAACGUG
ensembl:lncRNA